UCGGCCCAGUUCUCUCCGGAGCCCACGAAUACGCCUCUCCUCUGUUUCCUCUCGUUGCUAGGUUCCCAUCAGGGAAGAAAUCGCGCCGCCGUCUCCCCCGCGACCGAUCCAGUCCGCCGCCGCCGGCCCCGCUCCCUCUUCCCCUCCUCGACCGAGCUCUAGUCCUCCGCCUCCGGCCCCGCUCCUGCUCUCUCCGGUCUCCGGACGUCGCCCCUGCUCUCGCCGGCCGCCGGACGACGCCCUGCUUCCGCUCCGUCCACCUCGAGCCAGCACCUCAACCGAGCUCGACCUCGUUGUGUGGAUAUGUGCAUCUAAUAGAUGUGGAGGGGAAUGUCAAGUCCGUACCAAGAUGGGAGAGUGGCAAAUGCGAGUGCAAAAUAGACGGAUGAUCCAUUGAGUCAUGGUCAUUGCAGAUGGGACCAUACCUGGUGGGGAAAAACUUUUGUUGCAGCAGAAAUAUGAUGGAUAUUUCAACUAAAGAACAAGAAGACGAGGAAUUUGAAUCGGUCAUGCUAGCAUUAGCUUUGGAUGUGAUGUUGUCAGAGGAGAGACCGACGUAUGCACAAAGAAAAUUACACCUUUCGCCAGGUCCCGAAGAAAAAGAGACCGUUGGUUUGACAAAAUUACACCUUGUGUCAGGCCUCCAAGAAAAACAGAUCGUCAGCUCAAACAGACAUGAGAUACAUGACAUGAUGGCCAUGCUCAUUGCAGAUGGAGCCAUACCUGGUACUGAUGAGCAUUUCUAUGCUUCACAACUUUUGUUGGAGCAGAAAUAUCGUGAUGUUUUCUCUUCAUUCAAGGGUUUUUCUCCUAGUGUGAGGCUUGGAUGGAUUAAGAGGACAUGGGAGCUCAACAAUUUUUAGAAUCUAAGAUGUUUUAAAUCCUUUAAACCAAACUAUUUGCUAUCUAUCGUGUUAACCUCAUAUGUGCUAUGAUCUUGUACCAUUGUGAACUAAGUUUAUUUGGUAUAUGUUGUA